CAGCCGUAAACAAUGUGCGUUAGGUGUGUCGGUAACCACGUGUUACUGAUGCGCCGAAGAGAAAUCGUGAAACGCACCACCUGGGAAGUACGGUCGCAAGGCUGAAACUUAAAGGAAUUGGCGGGGAGCACCACAACAGGUGGAGCCUGCGGGUUUAAUUUGGAUUCAACGCCGGACAUCUCACCGGAUAAGACAGCUGAAUGAUUGUCAAUCUGAAGGUUUUACAUGACUAGCUGAGAGGAGGUGCAUGGCGUCAGUGACU
rnacentral:rRNA from 1 species